rnacentral:misc_RNA from 1 species
GGAAGUAGAAGUCGUAACAAGGUUUCCGUAGGUGAACCUGCGGAAGGAUCAUUAUUGUAUAACCGAGGUGCGAGGGCUGUCGCUGACCCGAAAGGUCGUGCACGCCCGAGUGCCCUCACACACAUCCAUCUCACCCCUAUGUGCACCACCGCGUGGGUCCCCCUUUGGCUUGUUCGGAGGGGGGCUUACGCUUUCACACAAACUUUGUAUGCAGUGUAGAAUGUAUUUUUUGUUUUUGCGAUCACGCAAUCAAUACAACUUUCAACAACGGAUCUCUUGGCUCUC